rnacentral:lncRNA from 1 species
UGAAAAUCAAGAGUAAAACAAUCAAAAGGAAUAGGCCCACAGAGGAUCCAGAUAUAGAAGUUUGUUAACAAAACUUUUAAAUAGCUUGAUGUAUAUGUUUAAGGACAUGGAGAAAAAAGCCAAAAACAGAGAGGAUGAGUAGAGUUCCCAAUUUAUAAAGCACACGAGUAAUUCUAGAACUAAAUAAUACAGUAUCGGUAACAGAAAUUUGUACAUAAGAGUAAGCAGAAUUAGUGAGCUAGCAGAAAAGUCAACUGAAUGUCUCUGUGCUUAAGCACAGAGAGCAAACAGUAAGUAAUACAGAAAGGAACACUAAGAAAUAUGAGGGUCACUCAAUAGAUCUAACAUAAAAUGGAAUUCCAGAAGGAAAUAAUAGUGAAUGAAGCAGAAGCAAUAUUUAAAGAGAUAAUUCCUGAAUGUUUUCCAUAACUGAUGAAUGAUAUUAAUUUACAGGUUUAUGGAAGCUCUGUGAAGUCAAGAAGUGUAAAUAUGAUAUCACCAUAUUUUAUUAGAAGUAAAUAUUGAGUACAACUGCAAAUAACCACAGACAAAAAUAUAAUGCACAUUAUCACCAUCCUGGCUAACACGGUGAAACCCUGUCUCUACUAAAAAUACAAAAAAAUUAGCCAGGUGUGGUGGUGGGCAUAGUCCCAGCUACUCAGGAGGCUGAGGCAGGAGAAUGGCGUGAACCCAGGAGGCAAAGCUUGCAGUGAGCCGAGAUGGUGCCACUGCACUCCAGCCUGGGCCACAGGGAGAGACUCUGUCUACAAAAAAAAAAAAUGCACAUUAUCUUCAAAGGAACAAUAGUUUUGAUACCUGAAUUCUCAACAGAAACAAUGGAAGCCAGAAGACAGCAGAAGAAUAUCUUCAAAGUACUAAGAAGAACUCUUUUGCCUCCAGAAAAGAGAAUGGAUUUUGGAGUUAGAGUUGGCUACAGACGAUACAGGAAGAAAAAUUAA